GCCCGGCUAGCUCAAUCGGUAGAGCGUGAGACUCUUACAUUCUUCGGCUUCCCCCUGCAAGGACUGGUGAGACUGGUGGACAUCUCAAGGCUGUGGGUUCGACCCCCACGUCGGGCU